CCAAUGGCGGGUGCUACCAUGCAGUCGACGAUGAGUGGAGCUUGCUCCACGGAUUAGUGGCGAACGGGUGAGGAACACGUGAGAAACCUGCCUCGGAUUUUGGGAUAACAAAUGGAAACGUUUGCUAAUACCAAAUAACGUCGGAGAGUCACAUGACAUUCUGACGAAAGGAAUUCCGAUUCGAGAGGGUCUCGCGGCCUAUCAGCUUGUUGGCGGGGUAAUGGCCCACCAAGGCAACGACGGGUAGCUGGUCUGAGAGGAUGGUCAGCCACACUGGGACUGAGACACGGCCCAGACUCCUACGGGAGGCAGCAGUGGGGAAUCUUGCGCAAUGGGCGAAAGCCUGACGCAGCAACGCCGCGUGCGGGAAGAAGGCUUUCGGGCUGUAAACCGCUUUCAGCAGGAACGAAAAUGACGGUACCUGCAGAAGAAGGAGCGGCCAACUAUGUGCCAGCAGCCGCGGUGAUACAUAGGCUUCAAGCGUUGUCCGGAUUUAUUGGGCGUAAAGAGUUCGUAGGCGGUCGAGUAAGUCGGGUGUGAAAAUUCUGGGCUCAACCCAGAGACGCCACCCGAUACUGCUUAACUUGAGUUCGAUAGGGGAGUGGGGAAUUCCUAGUGUAGCGGUGAAAUGCGCAGAUAUUAGGAGGAACACCGGUGGCGAAGGCGCCACUCUGGAUCGACACUGACGCUGAGGAACGAAAGCAUGGGUAGCAAACAGGAUUAGAUACCCUGGUAGUCCAUGCGGUAAACGGUGGGCACUAGGUGUGGGUUUCUAUUAACGAAAUCCGCGCCGUCGCUAACGCAUUAAGUGCCCCGCCUGGGGAGUACGGUCGCAAGACUAAAACUCAAAGGAAUUGACGG
rnacentral:rRNA from 1 species